AUGUAUUGUGCGCUCACGCAUUCUGAGGUACCGGUGAGUAAUAAUAAGAAAAUUUGGCGGUCGAAGAUACCACUAAAAGUUAAAGUCUUCAUGUGGUAUCUUCGUAGGGGAGUUGUUCUAACCAAAGACAACCUCGCACGGCGCAAUUGGUAAGGGAGUAAGAAGUGUUGUUUUUGUACUCAUGAUGAGACCAUCAGACACCUCUUUUUCCAAUGCAACUUUGCACGUUCUACGUGGUCAGUCAUCCAAAUAGCGUCAAGUUUAUAUCUGCCCACAAGUGUUGCCAAUAUUUUUGGUCAUUGGUUGGACGGUAUUUCAAAUAGGUUCAAAACGCUAUUAAAGGUGGGAGCGUAUGCCUUACUAUGGUCGCUUUGGCUAUGUAGAAAUGAUUUUGUUUUUAAUGACAAAAAUGCUUCUCCUUUGCAGGCUAUUUUCCGUUGUACGCACUCGCUUCGUAUGUGGUCUAUGCUACAACGAGUGGAGGUCCAACCGUUGUUCAAGGAGGUGUGUACGCGGUUGGAGCAGGUGGCUACAGAGGUUUUUACCCAACAUGGGUGGCAGCAUAACCUCCGGAUCAGUCCAUCUCACCUUUCGACAUAG
rnacentral:rRNA from 1 species